AUUGAACGCUGGCGGCAGGCCUAACACAUGCAAGUCGAACGAGUGGCGGACGGGUGAGUAAUGUCUGGGAAACUGCCUGAUGGAGGGGGAUAACUACUGGAAACGGUAGCUAAUACCGCAUACCAUCAGAUGUGCCCAGAUGGGCUUAGCUAGUUGGUGGGUUAACGGCUCACCAAGGCGACGAUCCCUAGCUGGUCUGAGAGGAUGACCAGCCACACUGGAACAUAGACCCGGUCCAACCUCGUACGGGAGGCGUCGGUGGGGAAUUUUGCACAAUGAGCGAAAGCCUGAUGCGGCAAUGCCGCGUGUAUGAAGGCGGCUUUCGGGUUUUAAAGUACUUUCAGCGGUGAGGCGUUACCCACAGAAAAAGCCCCGGCUAACUCCGUGCCAGCAGCCGCGGUAAUAC
rnacentral:rRNA from 1 species